GUCGAGCGGAACGAUGGUAGCUUGCUACCAGGCGUCGAGCGGCGGACGGGUGAGUAACACUUAGGAAUCUACCUAGUAGUGGGGGAUAGCUCGGGGAAACUCGAAUUAAUACCGCAUACGACCUACGGGAGAAAGGGGGCAGUUUACUGCUCUCGCUAUUAGAUGAGCCUAAGUCGGAUUAGCUAGAUGGUGGGGUAAAGGCCUACCAUGGCGACGAUCUGUAGCUGGUCUGAGAGGAUGAUCAGCCACACCGGGACUGAGACACGGCCCGGACUCCUAUGGGAGGCAGCAGUGGGGAAUAUUGGACAAUGGGCGACAGCCUGAUCCAGCCAUGCCGCGUGUGUGAAGAAGGCCUUUUGGUUGUAAAGCACUUUAAGCAGUGAAGAAGACUCCAUGGUUAAUACCCAUGGACGAUGACAUUAGCUGCAGAAUAAGCACCGGCUAACUCUGUGCCAGCAGCCGCGGUAAUACAGAGGGUGCAAGCGUUAAUCGGAAUUACUGGGCGUAAAGCGAGCGUAGGUGGCUUGAUAAGUCAGAUGUGAAAUCCCCGGGCUUAACCUGGGAACUGCAUCUGAAACUGUUAGGC
rnacentral:rRNA from 1 species